ACGCUGCCCUGUAGCAUGGAGUCAGACGAGGGCACAGACUGGCUCCUGGAGCUCCUGACCGAGGUGCAGCUGCAGCAGUACUUCCUGCGCAUCCGCGACGACCUCAACGUCACCCGCCUCUCGCACUUCGAGUACGUCAAAAAUGAAGAUCUGGAGAAGAUCGGCAUGGGGCGGCCUGGCCAGCGGCGGCUGUGGGAAGCCGUGAAGCGCAGGAAAGCCAUGUGCAAGCGCAAGUCGUGGAUGAGCAAGGUGUUCAGCGGGAAGCGCCCCGAGACAGAGUUCCCACCCCAGCCCCAGCCCACCUUCCCCAAGCUCUCCAGCCCGCCGCCCGCCGAGGAGGGGCAGCAGGCCCUGACCUGCCUGAUCAGCGAGAAGGACCUGACGCUCUUCGAGAAGCUGGGGGACGGCUCCUUCGGCGUGGUGCGGCGCGGCGAGUGGGGCACGCCCACCGGCAAGACGCAGCUCAGCGUGGCUGUGAAGUGUCUCAAGACUGAUGUGCUAAGCCAGCCGGAGGCGCUGGACGACUUCAUCCGGGAGGUGAACGCCAUGCACUCGCUGGACCACCGCAACCUCAUCCGGCUCUACGGCGUGGUGCUCUCGCCCCCCAUGAAGAUGGUGACGGAGCUGGCCCCGCUGGGCUCCCUGCUGGACCGGCUGCGGAAGAACCAGGGCCAUUUCCUCCUCUCCACACUGUGCCAGUACGCCGUGCAGAUCGCCACGGGCAUGGCCUACCUGGAGUCCAAGCGCUUCAUCCACCGCGACCUGGCUGCUCGCAACAUCCUGCUGGCCUCCAGCGACCUGGUCAAGAUCGGCGACUUCGGACUCAUGCGGGCGCUGCCCAAGAACGACGACCACUACGUCAUGCAGGAGCACCGCAAGGUGCCCUUCGCCUGGUGUGCCCCGGAGAGCCUGAAGACACGCACCUUCUCACACGCCAGCGACACCUGGAUGUUCGGGGUCACCCUCUGGGAGAUGUUCACCUAUGGGCAGGAGCCGUGGGUCGGCCUCAGCGGCAGCCAGAUCCUCCACAAGAUCGACAAGGAGGGCGAGCGGCUGCCGCGGCCCGAGGACUGCCCGCAGGACAUCUACAAUGUCAUGCUGCAAUGCUGGGCGCACAAGCCCGAGGACCGGCCCACCUUCGUGGCCCUGCGCGACUUCCUGCUGGAGGCCCAGCCCACGGACAUGAGGGCCCUGCAGGACGUGGACGAGCCGGAGAAGUUGCACAUCCAGAUGAACGACGUCAUCACAGUCAUCGAGGGCAGGGCUGAGAAUUAUUGGUGGCGGGGUCAGAAUAAGAGGACCCUUAAAGUGGGGCAGUUCCCGCGAAACACGGUGACCUCCGUGGCAGGGCUGUCGGCCCACGACAUCAGCCAGCCGCUAAAAAACAGCUUCAUCCACACUGGCCAUGGAGACACCAACCCACAGCACUGCUGGGGCUUCCCUGAUAAGAUCGAUGAGCUAUACCUGGGAAACCCCAUGGACCCUCCCGACGUGCUAGGCGUGGACCUGAACGCAGCCAGACCCACCCAGCUCCCGAGCCGGGCGAAAAGGGAUCCACCGCCUCGGCCACCGCAGCCGGCCAUCCUCCUUACGAAGCCCUCCUACGACCCCGUCAGCGAGGACGACUCCCUCUCCACGGGCCUCAAGCGGCUGUACCUGAGGAAGCCGGGCCCCCCGAAGGGGCUGAAGCUGGUGAAGCCGUCGGCCUGGGUGUCGGGCACCAAGGUGGGCGAGCGGCAGCUGAGCCGGGCCAAGGGUGGGGGUCCCUCUUGUGGCGAGGCGCCACUGAUUGACUUUGGGGACGAGCCGCCCCCCGCCACCCCCUCGCCGGUCGGGGAGCUGGGCGCCCCCUCCCUCGCCAGGCUGGCCAUGGAGGCUUUCUCCCUGCUGGACAAGACGCCCCCCCAGAGCCCCACGCGGUCACUGCCCCGGCCCCUCCACCCCACCCCGGUGGUGGACUGGGACGCUCGGCCCCUGCCCCCGCCACCGGCCUACGAUGAUGUGGCGCAGGACGAGGCCGACUUCGAGGUGUGCUCCAUAAACAGUGUGGAGGGGCUGGUGGGGCGGCCAGCCUGGGACGAGGAAGAGAAGGCGGCGCCGCUGGAGGACAACCUCUUCCUGCCGCCCCAUGGGGCCAAGCAGCCCAGCCUGGAGCAGACCACCGAGAUCUUCCAGGAGCUGCAGCAGGAGUGCAUGAAGCGGCUGCACGUGCCCCGGAGCCCUGCGCCCGGCCCCGGCGAGGACAAGCCGCAGAUUCCGCCCCGCGUGCCCAUCCCGCCCCGGCCCCUGCGGAGGAACGAGCCCGGGCGCUGGUCGGGGGAGCUGUCCCCGGCCUCAGGGGGCGAGGAGGACCGGCCACCCCAGAUCCCGCCCCGCGACCCCUUAUCCCAGCCCACCUCCAGGACUCCCAGCCCCAUGGCUCUGCAGGUGGGCUCCCCGCAGCAAAGGGCCAGCCUCUGCUCCCCCUUGGCCCUGGCCGCCUCCCUCUCCACCUCCCCGGGCAAGGCCAUGCCCACCACGCAGAGCUUCGCCUCGGACCCCAAGUACGCCACGCCCAAGGUCAUCCUGGCGCAGGACAAGGACAGCGUCAGGGGCCCCUGCAUCCUGCCCAUUGUCAAGGACGGCCGGAAGGUGAGCAACACCCACUACUACCUGCUGCCCGAGCCCCCGGCCUACCUACACAAGUACGAGAAGUUCUUCAAGGAAGCCCGGAGCCCUGAGGAGCCGGCGUCCCGCGUGGUCAGCACCGCCACCGUCCGGCCCAUGGUGCAGCAGCCCAACUGCUCGGCCAACAACAGCAACCCCGGCCCCCGGGGGGCGCUCAGGGCCUCCUGCAGCGUCCAGAACAUUAUCUACGACAGCAGCAGCGACGGCUGCCGGGCCGCCGAGAAAGUGCGACUGGUGCAGGAGAUGGUGCACGGCGUGACCACCGAGGAGUGCCAGGCUGCCCUGCAGAACCACGGCUGGAACGUCCAGCGGGCCAUCCAGUAUCUGAAGGUGGAGCAGCUUUUCUGCCUGGGCCUCAAGACCAGGGGGGAGUGCCACCGGGUCCUGGAGAUGUUCGACUGGAACCUGGAGCAGGCCAGCUGCCACCUGCUGGACCCUGCCAGCGCCGCCAGGCAGAAGCGGUGACGGCAGCAGGCCGGGAAGCUGAGUCAGACCUGGAGCGGGCACCUCCUGCCCCACCUCCGCGGUGCCUGCCCCCCACGUUGGAUUGAGCUGGCCGGAGAGCCCGGAGCUUGGCAGAGAGCCUGACCGGGGCUCGGGACUGGCAUGGGGCAGCCCCCGGGACCCCGCUGGGGGUUGCCCCGGAGCUCGCUGGAGAAUUGUUUUGUAAAGAGAAAUAACAUAAAAUGAAACUUCAGAAUGAGGCUCCCAGCCAGCAAAUUGUCCCUGCCCUGAAAGCAAACCUGGGGGAGGUAUGAAGUGCUGCUGAAGUGAGCAAAGCCAGCGGCACAAAGGGAACAUGGAGUUCCCUCACCUACAGGGAUCUCGGCUGCUUCACCGCCGCUGGCUCCUGGCUCGGGGGAGGAAGACGCUGUUUCCGGGACAGAAUUGACAUUGGCCCCAUUCACGGCUGACACCAAACUAGCUGUUGCUCCCUCUGCCGGAAAAGAGGCGCUGGCUUCGCGGGCGUGGCCGCUUGAAAUGGCGCGUUCUCCAGGCAACGUGGUGUUGGCGGGCAUGGCGGACGGGGACGGAGGAGAUCGGGCUGUCUCUGUGGCUGCCAGGACUCCGGCACGGAGCAAACUGCUCUCCGCCGCUGUGGGAGAUGCAGCUCCAGGGGUGAACUCAUCCUCUGGAGAGGCUGGGACAGCAGAGGUGGGCCCAGGAUCUGCACAGG